GGGCUUAUAGCUCAGUUGGUUAGAGCAACAGACUCAUAAUCUGGAGGUCCCAGGUUCAAGCCCUGGUUGGCCCA
rnacentral:tRNA from 4 species